UUUUUUCAGUAAAUCUUUGAAAUCCAAUGUGUAUUUUACAAUUAAUGGUGCAUCUCAAUUCAGACCUCAUUUCAAAUGCUCAAUAACCAAUUAACUGGCAAUUAUUCUAUUGGAUGGAGCAGUUCUAUAGCAUUCAGCACGUGUUAUUUCCAUCUUAUUUUAUGUACGUUUCUCAAGAAAUGGGGGAACUCUUCUAUGUAUUUCCCAACAUUGCUAGAGUACUAUGCCUAAUAAAUGCCUGAGUCAGUGUGAAAGUCAAGAAAACAAGUUAUUGUGCCAUGCUGAAUUUCUAGAAGAGAAGUAUCUCUACCACAUCAAGGCACAGGUAGUUCUCACAAAACGAAAAGCAUUUUUGCACAGCAGAGCCCGGGAAGCUGCAAGUUGCUCUGUGGGCUGAAAAACAUCCUUGAGGUCAAAGUUAUGAAACUGACAAGGACAAAAAAGAAAGACUGCACUGGGGGCUGUGAAAACAAGGAGACAGAGACAAAGCACCCGGCCACUUUCUUGGUUAGCAUUUAAAAAAUGAAAAUGAGAUGAACUGACAAUGAUGAGAGGGUACUCAGCUGCCUGAAAAGAACAGAGAAAUAAUUGACACUUCAAUGUAAAAGGAUUCUUUAAAGCUCUCCAGUGUGGCAGACAGUUGAAUCACAUCUUGAGCAAAUAUUUCCAGCAUAUAAAGGUGACAUAUUUGGAAAAAAAAUACUAUUCUUUUUGGUCAACUAUUCCUUUUGGUCACUCAGAUUAUAUCUGGUUGACUCAAAAUAAAACAGGUAAAAUCCAUUUUUUAAAAGAAAAGUUAUUAAUGAAUGUUCUAAAAAGUUGCCCAUUAUUUUCAGUUUUUUCUUUUUUGCAAUGAGCAGCUGUUAAACUAUGAGAAUCCAGCUUCAGAGUAUAUUUAUUGUAUUGUUUGCAAAUUUGUAUUAAACAUUGCCCUGGAGACUACGAAAAUUAGUAACAUAUCCUAAAAUACUUUUUGUGGGACUUCACUGUUCACUUUUAUAUGCAUUAUCUCAUCUUGAUUAAAAUCUCCAGAACAUUUUAUGUCACUCCCAUAGAUCUUCUGUCAAGGAUUCUUGAGUUGAUAAAAUCAAAAUUGCAGACUGUUGAUUUGAAACUCAUGUUAAUUUAUACAGUUUCAAAAUGAUGAAAACUCAGUCUUCUUUAAAACCAUAGCUCCCCUUUUCUAUACAUACAUCUUUUAGUACACACCGGUCGAUUCAAUGUGGAAAAUCCUCAGAUGCUGGCUUUGCAUGCUGAGAUAAUAGGGUUUUGAAAGGGCAUUUGACUAACGCACUUUGAUUUCCAGCAAAAACAUGUAGUACGAAGAUUGUCACCAGCCAAGGACCACUAGUAAAAUAUGAUAAGGUUCAGUUUGUUUGUUUGUUUUUUAAAGUCAAGGAGCAUUCUAACCCUAAAAUGUCAUCCUCAGAAUGACUGUCAUUCAAGAGGAGGCCUGAAACCAGUAAGAAAGCCUUUAGGCACUGUUGUCUGGGCACUGAGGCUCCAUCUGCAAUCUGCACAUGAGCUGGCUGAGGACACCUUGUCCUGGGGAGUCUUUUUGUGUUCUCACCAUCAGGCCAAGUAGCUCACACUGCCCAAAAGUUCACCAACUGUAAUUUGAUGAUUGGUAACUGAAAAAAUAGAGUAUGAUGGUACUUCUUUUCUCUUUUUCAAAUCUUGUGCUAAUUUAUAUUUAAAUCCUUCUAAGUAUUCAGAGAGAUAAAGCAAAGCUUUCUUCCCUCACAUGGCCAUUUAGAGCAGAGUGUGGAUUGCCUCACUAUAUGCUUUUUACACCCAAUAAAGCUUAGAGAGAAACUGAGUUCCCAGGAGCCUGAGAGUUGAUAGUUUUAAAACCCCUCUCAUCAGCAUUUGAAAGGUGCCAUUGAAUUUUCAAUCAAUAUUAACCCAAGAUGUUAUGGUUGUGAGAAUAGAGUCAUUUUCUGAGGGCAUUUAUGUAUAUAACUAACAGGAAGGAAAGUAUGUUAUCUUAAAAAAUUGAAUGACGUUGAAAAUUCCACACUGAUGGAUCUUUAGUAACAAACAGGUUUGGGAGGGGAUAGGCUGAAAGACUGUGGGAAAAUAAGAGAAGGCUUUAGGGUCAUGGUCAUGGUACUUGUUCAUUUUUAUAACAAGUAAUUUAGACUGUCACCAUGACUAUCUUGAAAUAAAAUUUAAAUGAACUUAAAAAAUUGAAUAUACUUUCCUAAUGGUAAUAUAAAGGAGAAAUAAAAGGGAAGCAAUUUGAGGAAUACAUAAAAAUAUGUCUACCAUAUACAAGUGUUUGGCCAGGAGGACACUACAAAAUACACAAUGAAGGAGUAAGAUGCUUGUGGGACUCACAGAAUCUGGAAAAUGAAGAGGGUAACACUCAAGCUCUGAACCUCAGGUGUUGCCUUGACAACACCACAUGCACUGUUGCCAUCUUUAAAGAUGUGACAUCUCUAAAUAGCAAAGACCCUUGAGGGAGUUCCAAACCAAAUGCAGUCUUCCCUCAAAAAGUCCCAAAUAUUUUGUCUUUGUAUGUAAAACAGAGUCAGAUUCUAGACUCAGAUAAUUAUAAACAGUGUUUUUUUUAACCUGGGGACAUUUGAAAACGACAGGAGAUGACAGAUAAUUUUUCAUUGUGUGUGGCUGUCCUGUACAUUGCAGGAAAACUAGUAUCUCUGCUCUCUCCCAAAUGUCAGCAUUGACUCCCAAACAUUGCAACAUCCAAAAAUAUUGCUAUAAAUUCCUCUGUGGGCACGACCUAGGAAGAAAGAAGGCCCACUAACCACGGCUGGAGGCAAGUUUCUAAAAAGACAAGCAGUAAGAAAUUCCCAGAGUGGUCUUGUAUUGCAUUUUAAGCAGUUACUAUGCUGAAAUCUCCUAUUUUUGGCCCUAAACCUUCAGCAAAGCUGGAGAAUCAGUCUUGGGGAUAAGUAGCCAUAAGUAAUGCCCCAUAUCAUACCAUGAAGUUUGGUGAAGACUUCGCCACUCCUACCACAGAGCACAGACCAAUCAGUGUGCCUAGUUGCCACUACUGCUAGACUUUCUGCCGUCAUUGACUCAGGAAACCAAACGCAGCUCCACAGGCAUCACCCUCAACUGCCUCAGGACUGCUGGGUCUCUGCUUCUCCACAUCCCUGGCGUCCACAACCAAGUGGGGUGAAUGCAUCUGAUUGGCUCAGCUUCUGUCACGUGCCCUUGUCUUAACUGCAGGGGAGGCUGGGAAAAUGUUCAAGCUUCUUCAGCUUCCAUAGGCAGGUUCUGCUUCCCUCAAACUUAGGAAAGGGCUUCAGAUGUGGAGCAGCCUAAAAGAAUGACACAUGCCCACUCUAAUUAGCUGGCCAAAUUAGUUCUACAGAAGAGAAGUACCUUGGGAUUUCGGAGCAGAAAGUGAUGAUUCUGAGGAGGCUUUAGAGGAGGGGAGAUUUGAUCAAGUCUUGAAGGAUGAGAAAGUUGGUAGGGUUGUAGGUAGGGAUAGGAGAAGGAUUUCGAGAGACACAUAUGGAAUGACAAUAUUAAGAAUGCUGAACUGGGGAAAACAAAUGCAAGCGCUGUGCUAGCAGGAAGGUCUGUGAAGUUUGCAAUAAAGCCAUUAUGAAGUCAAGAAUGGAGGUUCCAUUUUUAAAGAACUCAGAGGGGGUAGAUCUUGAUUGACAUCUCAUCUGGGGUCACCUGGUCUUCAACUGAGAGAUCUUUUGGUUCGCCACGGAUGCCCCUUGCAGUUAUGGAAGUUCACUCUUUGAGAGAGAGAUAAAUAAACAUUAAAAUGUAAAGAAAAAAAAAAUCAGCAAUGGAAGGAAAAAGGAACAAAAAGCAAUCCAUUGGCGUCAAGCUUGACUGGACCACUCCACUGCUCUGCUGCCGUUAGUGAACCUGACCCUGCAGCAGGAGUCACAGACUCACCACUCACCUCAAGUCCUCACUCCCUGGACCCUCAAUCUACACAUCACUUUGUCUUUUAUUUCCCUGAGAAAUACAGGCCAUCAGUUUGCAGAUCCCUCCUUUCCCCUUACCCUGCAAAUCUCCAUCUAUUUGGAAAAGUGUGCCUCCUACAUUCCAAAGCUAACCCCUCCUCCUCUGCCACUAAUAUCAGCCCUACCUGCCUUCUUCUGUAACUUGCUCCAUUAAUUCCCUCCCCUCUCCCCCAGGUCUCCCUGCCUAUGAACAUAUUCAAGGACAUCAUAUCUUAAAAACAAACAAAUAUCAGGCACAAUGGCUCACACCUGUAAUCCCAGCACUUUGAGAGGUCAAGGCAGGAGAAUCACUUGAAUCCAGGGGUUCAAGACCAGCCUGGGAAACAUAGGGAGACCCUAUCUCUACAAAAAAUAUUUUUUAAAAAAAUUAGCCAGGUGUGGUGGUGUGCACCUGUAGUCCCAACUACUCAGAAGGCUGGGGUGGGAGAAAUAUUUCAGCCCAGGACGUCACUGUGCACAAUUGCUUUACUUUUUUUUCCCUUGGUAUAGACUUGUUGAAGAGUAAGCCUUCAUGUACUGUUUCCUCACUUUACAUUCACUCUCAACUGGAGACAAUAUAGAGUCUUCGCAGAUGCAGCUUUCUCCAGACCAACAAUGUGGUUAGACAUCUGGUUUUUCAUUGUUGUUGUUUGAUUUCUCUGACUAGCUUCCCUGACCAGAGGUCGUUUUGAGUUUCCUUCUCUGGAAUUUGACCACUGAGCAGAGACACAUAGGAGAGAAGACGUGAAUGCUGAGUCAUCAAUCAGCAUCACUGGGAAGAAAAAGCCUCUCAGUUUCUUCUGCUGGGACUCCCAGAGCUGGAGUAUUUUCUGCUCUUCCUAAGGCCUGGUAAUUCAGCUCUUUGUGAGACUGUGAGCUUUACCAUACCCUUCCAGUAGCAACCUUCUUCUUUUUUAAGUUCAUUGCGGGGAAUAGGGAGUGAUGGCUGAUGGACAUAGGGUUUCUUUUUGGGGUGACAAAAAUCUUCUAAAAUUAAGUGGUGGUGAUGGUUGCACAAUUUUGAAUAUACUAAAAACCGUGAAUUCUAAAGUUUAAACAGGUGAAUUCUGUGCUAUAUAAAUUGUAUCUCAAUGAAAUUACUAAUAUUCUAAAGCCUCCCAAGUGACUUAGAUGUUCGGUGAGUGUUGAAAGCCAGUUAUUUAUCACAUCCUUAAGUCCUGCUACCUUUCUCUCACUCUCUAAGUUCAGUUUCCUCUUUGGUUUGACUUGGACCAAUCUGCAACAACUCUUGAUGUUUCUUGUAAAUUCUAUGACUAACUCCCAGAGCUUCUCCUGUCUAUCUGAUACGCAUUUAGCUUCUCCUUUCAGGCCUCAAACAGCAUGUUUAGAACAGAACUGAUCUUCUUCUCCCCAACCUGCUUUACCUUUUCUAUUUCUCACUCAGUUACUGGCACAAACUUCUCCAUAUAUGUUUAAGAAGACCUCUACUUUGACUUUCCCUGCUCCUUCUAACUUACAUCCAAUUAAUCAAAACGUUGUAUCAGUUUUAUUUCUGAAACAAUCUCUCCCAUCUUCCUUAUCUCUUCAUUCCACUGCCAGGUCUGAGUCCACCCUUUACUAUUUUCUGUUGGAUUAAGGCAAACCUCCUGUAAAGAGCUGCCCUGUCUCCUGCAGUCUCAUCCUCCAGUACCCCUUCAUGCCUACACUGAAGUCCUCUUCCUAAAACAGGAAUAGGGUUAACUCACUCACCUCCCCUAAACCUGUUAGUGGCUCUGCACUGAGUACUGGAUCAAGUCUAAUGUAAUGAGAAGGCCCAUUCAAUCUGGGCCAAACUUUCCUUCUUAGCCUAGUGUCCUCCUAUGCCCCCUGCACAGACCUUAGCUCCAAUCACACUAACCCAUGCCAUUACCUGGACACACUGUGCUAGUCUACACUCACGUGCCCCCAGCUCACAUCUCCCCUUUUCCUGGAAUGCCAUGUCCAUAUGGCCUGGAGAAUGACCUAAAGUUAGUGCCAGCAGAGAGCUUAUCAGUAGUGGGGCAGAUCACAGGGGAGAGCAGGUUUUGGAGCUAGGGUGAGGUGUCAAUGAGAAGAAGGGUGAUUUAUUAAGAAGUAAGCUCAUUUCAAGCCAUACACCUGAAACCUGACGCCCAAAGAGGAGGCAGAGACCCAAUCAACUACUGAUACAGUUUGUGAGGCUGGAGACUUGAGAGAACAAUAGGUUGAGGCAAGUGUAACCAAUGGAUUAAUUCCUUACCAAUCUAGGAUUCCUGGAGCGUGGAGUGCUCCAGGCCUGGUGGCACCAAGACUUUAAAAAGAAAAACCAUUACACAGUGAGAUUUGGUCUCUACACAAAAUUUAAAAAUUAGUGUGGUGUGGUCGCACACAACUGUAGUAACAGCUACUCAGGAGGCUGAGGUGGGAGGAUCGCUUGAGCCCAGGAGUUU
rnacentral:lncRNA from 1 species